rnacentral:rRNA from 1 species
GACGUAGGGGGGCAAGCGUUGUCCGGAUUUAUUGGGCGUAAAGAGCGUGUAGGCGGCCUUACAGGUCAGCUGUGAAAACUCGAGGCUCAACCUCGAGACGUCGGUUGAAACCGUAUGGCUAGAGUCCGGAAGAGGAGAGUGGAAUUCCCGGUGUAGCGGUGAAAUGCGCAGAUAUCGGGAAGAACACCCGUGGCGAAGGCGGCUCUCUGGGACGGUACUGACGCUGAGACGCGAAAGCGUGGGGAGCGAACAGG